rnacentral:rRNA from 1 species
AGCAGCCGCGGUAAUUCCAGCUCCAAUAGCGUAUAUUAAAGUUGUUGCAGUUAAAAAGCUCGUAGUUGAAUUUCGGGAUCAAAGAAUCGGUCAUGCCUUGGUAUGUACUGGUUUUAUUGGUUCUCACCUUCUAAAGAACCAUGAUGUCAUUCAUUUGAUGUUAUGGGGAAUUAGGACUGUUACCUUGAAAAAUUAGAGUGUUUAAAGCAAGCUUACGCUUGAAUACAUUAGCAUGGAAUAAUGAAAUAGGACAUCAGAUUCUAUUUUGUUGGUUUCUAGGAUCGAUGUAAUGAUUAAUAGGGAUAGUUGGGGGCAUUAGUAUUCAAUUGUCAGAGGUGAAAUUCUUGGAUUUAUUGAAGACUAACUACUGCGAAAGCAUUUGCCAAGGAUGUUUUCAUUAAUCAAGAACGAAAGUUAGGGGAUCGAAGACGAUCAGAUACCGUCGUAGUCUUAACCAUAAACUAUGCCGACUAGGGAUCGGA